rnacentral:rRNA from 1 species
GCGUUAAUCGGAAUUACUGGGCGUAAAGCGUGCGCAGGCGGUAAUGUAAGACAGUUGUGAAAUCCCCGGGCUCAACCUGGGAACUGCAUCUGUGACUGCAUUGCUGGAGUACGGCAGAGGGGGAUGGAAUUCCGCGUGUAGCAGUGAAAUGCGUAGAUAUGCGGAGGAACACCGAUGGCGAAGGCAAUCCCCUGGGCCUGUACUGACGCUCAUGCACGAAAGCGUG